AUGCCGCUUACCUCCUCUGCAGCAGCAGCAGCAGGGACCAACAGAACAGCUUCCAAUACUUGUUGUUGGUAUCCACCGGGCGACUAUACCCAACAAUUUCGUAAAAUGGCUAAGCAUCUCCUCUCUUUUUUUUUUUCUGUCUAUUGCUGCAUUUGCAUGCAGUUUUUCCUCUUCUGGCUUUGCUUGGUAAAGUUUCACAACACAAACUGGAGCUGUAAUAACGAUGUAAAAUCUGUUGUUUCAUUCUUCGAUAAUGGAACGGGCUGUGGCCCUUUUGCUCUAAAAAAACAAAUGUUGACAAGAUUACCUACAAGCCUACGACUAAGACUGCAUUCUAUAAUAUAUAAUAUAAAAAAAACAACUAUAUAUUUGUUUCCGUCCUUGAAAAACUCUACAGAAAGAAAGAGAAGGAGCUGA
rnacentral:rRNA from 1 species